GCGCCCGUAGCUCAGCGGAAAGAGCAGGUGCCUUCUAAGCACUUGGCCGCAGGUUCGAGUCCUGCCGGGCGCA
rnacentral:tRNA from 1 species